rnacentral:rRNA from 2 species
UACGUAGGGGGCGAGCGUUGUCCGGAAUCAUUGGGCGUAAAGAGCGUGUAGGUGGCUUGGAAAGUCUUACGUGAAAGCCUGCGGCUCAACCGCAGAAGUGCGUAGGAAACUUCCUCGCUAGAGUCCGGAAGAGGAGAGCGGAAUUCCUGGUGUAGCGGUGGAAUGCGCAGAUAUCAGGAGGAACACCCGUGGCGAAGGCGGCUCUCUGGGACGGUACUGACACUGAGACGCGAAAGCGUGGGGAGCGAACAGG